rnacentral:piRNA from 1 species
CCGGAUGAGGACGACAAUGGAAG